AAUGGGCGAAAGCCUGAUGGUGCGACGCCGCGUGGAGGAUGACAGCUCUAGGGUUGUAAACUCCUGUCAUGAGAGAGUAAAAACCUAUCGUUAAUAGCGAUCGGGUCUUGAUAGUAUCUCAAGAGGAAGGGACGGCUAACUUCGUGCCAGCAGCCGCGGUAAUACGAAGGUCCCAAGCGUUGUUCGGAAUUACUGGGCGUAAAGCGUGCGUAGGUGGCAUGGUAAGUCAGAUGUGAAAUCCCGGGGCUCAACCCCGGAACUGCAUCCGAUACUGCCAAGCUAGAGUAGUGGAGGGGAGUCUGGAAUUCACGGUGUAGCAGUGAAAUGCGUAGAUAUCGUGAGGAACACUAGUGGCGAAGGCGAGACUCUGGACACUAACUGACACUGAGGCACGAAGGCUAGGGUAGCGAAAGGGAUUAGAUACCCCUGUAGUCCUAGCAGUAAACGGUGCGCGUUUGGUGUGGGCGGGUUCGACCCCGUCCGUGCCGAAGCUAACGCGUUAAACGCGCCGCCUGGGGAGUACGGCCGCAAGGCUAAAACUCAAAGAAAUUGACGGGGACCCGCACAAGCGGUGGAGUAUGUGGCUUAAUUCGAUGCAACGCGAAGAACCUUACCUAGGCUUGACAUGCUUGUCGUAGUUCUGUGAAAGCAGAUCGUCAGUUCGGCUGGACUUGCACAGGUGCUGCAUGGCUGUCGUCAGCUCGUGUCGUGAGAUGUUGGGUUAAGUCCCGCAACGAGCGCAACCCCUAUGAUUAGUUGCCAGCGAGUAAUGUCGGGGACUCUAGUCAGACUGCCUGUAUUAAACAGGAGGAAGGUGGGGACGACGUCAAGUCAGUAUGGCCCUUACGCCUAGGGCUGCACACGUACUACAAUGCCCAGUACAAUGUGAACCGAUACCGUAAGGUGGAGGAAAUCCUUAAAACUGGGCUCAGUUCGGAUUGUGGGCUGCAACUCGCCCACAUGAAGCUGGAAUCGCUAGUAAUGGCACAUCAGCUACGGUGCCGUGAAUACGUUCCCGGGUCUUGUACACACCGCCCGUCACAUCAUGGAAGCCGGCCGCACCCGAAGUCGCCUUACCAACCGCAAGGAGGUAGGUGCCCACGGUGUAGCUGGUAACUGGGAUGAAGUCGUAACAAGGUAGCCGUAGGG
rnacentral:rRNA from 1 species